UACGACUACAUAUCAGGCAUAUCAAUAAGCGGAGGAAAAGAAACUAACAAGGAUUCCCUUAGUAACGGCGAGUGAAGCGGGAAGAGCUCAAAUUUGAAAUCUUCAAGGUUUUACCUUGACGAAUUGUAGUUUAAAGAAGUGUUUUCUGUUGAAGUUUCGGUAAAAGUUCUUUGGAAUAGGACAUCAUAGAGGGUGAGAAUCCCGUAUUUGACCAUUAUUUUCAGCUGUGUGAUACAGCUUUCAAAGAGUCGGAUUGUUUGGGAAUGCAGUCCAAAAUGGGUGGUAAAUUUCAUCUAAAGCUAAAUAUUGGCGAGAGACCGAUAGCGAACAAGUACCGUGAGGGAAAGAUGAAAAGAACUUUGAAAAGGAGAGUUAAACAGUACGUGAAAUUGUCAAAAGGGAAGCGUUUGACACCAGUGUUGUUUUCUCGAAAAUCAAUUAAAAAGAGUUGGAUUUUGUGUUGUAUUGACCUUAACAGCUUGCUUCACUCUUUUCCAGCUUUUUUAAUGCACUUUUCGUUUAACAAGUCAACAUCAGUUUCUUUUGUUGUAAAAGGGUCAUUGGAAGGUGGCUUUCUCUUCGGAGAAAGUGUUUAUAGCCUUUGAUCUCUGCAAUCGGAGAGACUGAGGUCUGCAGCGUAGAUCCUUCGGGGUUAGAUACAUUUGUGCUAAGCUACAGGCUUUCCAUAGACAACUUGUUGACUAUGUUUAGUCUUGUGACUUACCCGCUUACGCUAUUUUACCUACGCUUAGGAUGUUGAGCGCAUGUCUCUCUCU
rnacentral:rRNA from 1 species